CCUACGGGGGGCUGCAGUGGGGAAUAUUGGACAAUGGGGGCAACCCUGAUCCAGCCAUGCCGCGUGUGUGAAGAAGGCCCUCGGGUUGGAAAGCACUUUCAGUGAGGAAGAACGCCUGGUGGUUAAUACCCAUCAGGAAAGACAUCACUCACAGAAGAAGCACCGGCUAACUCCGUGCCAGCAGCCGCGGUAAUACGGAGGGUGCGAGCGUUAAUCGGAAUUACUGGGCGUAAAGCGCGCGUAGGUGGCUUGAUAAGCCGGUUGUGAAAGCCCCGGGCUCAACCUGGGAACGGCAUCCGGAACUGUCAAGCUAGAGUGCAGGAGAGGAAGGUAGAAUUCCCGGUGUAGAGGUGAAAUGCGUAGAGAUCGGGAGGAAUACCAGUGGCGAAGGCGGCCUUCUGGACUGACACUGACACUGAGGUGCGAAAGCGUGGGUAGCAAACAGGAUUAGAUACCCCAGUAGUC
rnacentral:rRNA from 1 species